rnacentral:lncRNA from 1 species
CACUGGGGGGUAGUAACUGGGAGGUUACUGGGAGCACUGGGGGGUAGUUAGAGGGAGAAUGGGGAUCACUGGGGGAUUACUGGGAGCACUGGUCAUCACUGGGAGGUUACUGGGAGCACUGGGGGAUUACUGGGAGCACUGGGAGGCUACUGGGAGCACUGGUCAUCACUGGGAUGUUACUGGGAGCACUGGGGGAUGGUUACUGGGAGCACUGGGGGAUUACUGGGAGCACUGGGAGGCUACUGGGAGCGCUGGGGGGUGGUUAUUGGGAGCACUGGGCAGCACUGGGCUGUUACUGGGAGGUUACUGGGAGCAGUGGGAGGUUACUGGGAGGACUGGAGGGUAGUUACUGGGAGCACUGGGGGGUUACUGGGAGCACUGGGGGGUAGUUACUGAGAGCACUGGGAGGUUACUGGGACCACUGGUCGUCACUGGGAGGUUACUGGGAGUACUGGGAGGUUACUGGGAGCACUGGGUAUCACUGGGAGGUUACUGGGAGCACUGGUCAUCACUGGGAGGUUACUGGGAGUACUGGGAGGUUACUGGGAGCACUGGUCAUCACUGGGAGGUUACUGGGAGUACUGGGAGGUUACUGGGAGCACUGGGUAUCAGUGGGAGGUUACUGGGAGCACUGGGGGAUUACUGGGAGCACUGGGGGGCUACUGGGAGCACUGGUCAUCACUGGGAUGUUACUGGGAGCACUGGGGGAUUACUGGGAGCACUGGGAGGCUACUGGGAGCAAUGGUCAUCACUGGGAGUGCUGGGGGAUGGUUACUGGGAGGACUGGAGGAUUACUGGUGGUCACUGGGAGGCUACUGGGAGCAAUGGUCAUCACUGGGAGGUUACUGGGAGCUCUGGGAGGUUACUGGGAGCUCUGGGAGGUUACUGGGAGCUCUGGGAGGUUACUGGGAGCUCUGGGAGGUUACUGGGAGUGCUUGGGGAAGGUUACUGGGAGGACUGGGGGAUUACUGGGAGCACUGGGAGGUUACUGGGAGUGCUUGGGGAUGGUUACUGGGAGGACUGGGGGAUUACUGGUCAUCACUGGGAGCACUGGUCGUCACUGGGAGGCUGCUGGGAGGUGGUUAUUGUGAGCACUGGGCAGCACCGGGCUGUUACUGGGAAGUUACUGGGAGCACUGGGAAGUUACUGGGACCAGUGGAAGGUUACUGGGAGCACUGGGAGGUUACUGGGAACACCGGGGGGUAGUUACAGGGAGCACUGGGGGAUUACUGGAAACACUGGGAGGCUACUGGGAGCACUGGAGGAUGGUUACUGGGAGCACUGGGAGGCUACUGGGAGCACUGGUCGUCACCGGAAGGUUACUGGGAGCACUGGGGGAUGGUUACUGGGAGCAGUGGGAGGUUAUUGGGAGCACUGGGAGGCUACUGGGAGCACUGGUCAUCACUGGGCUUCCCUGGGGGAUUACUGGGAGCUCUGGGAGGUUACUGGUCGUCACUGGGUGGCUACUGGGAGGUUACUGGGCAGCACUGGGCGGUUACUGGGAGUGCUGGGGGGUAGUUACAGGGAGCACUGGGGCUUUACUGGGAGCACUGGUCGUCACUGGAAGGUUACUGGGAGCAGUGGGAGGUUACUGGGAGCACUGGGAGGCUACUGGGAGCACUGGUCGUCACUGGAAGGUUACUGGGAGCAGUGGGAGGUUACUGGGAGCACUGGGAGGCUACUGGGAGCACUGGUCGUCACUGGGAGGUUACUGGGCGCACUGGUUGUUACUGGGCGCACCAGGGGAUGGUUACUGGGAGCACUGGUCGUCACUGGGAGGCAACUGGGAGCACUGGGGGAUGGUUACUGGGAGCACUGGUCUUUACUGGGAGCACUGGUCGUUACUGGGAGGUUACUGGGAGCACUGGGGGAUCACUGGUCAUCACUGGGGGAUGGUUACUGGGAGCACUGGGGGAUGGUUACUGGGAGCACUGGUCUUUACUGGGAGCCCUGCUCAUCACUGGGCGGUUACUGGGAUCACCGAGGGAUCACUGGUCCUUACUGGUCCUUACUGGUC